rnacentral:misc_RNA from 1 species
GAAAUGCGAUAGGUAAUGUGAAUUGCAGAAUUCAGUGAAUCAUCGAAUCCUUGAACGCAAAUUGCACCCAUGGGAUAGCCCAUGGGUAUGUCUGUUUGAGUGUCGGCUUCAAAUCACAUCCCCAACAAGCAUGCUGGGCGAUUGUGGAGUUGGACGUUGGUUUCUCACGGGGCCAUUGUCUGAAAAGCAUAGCCAAGGAUUGAGUGAGCUCCGAUUCUCAGCUGCAUGAAUUUGGAUCCCGAGGGAUUUUCUUCAAUGCGGCCAGGAUUGUGCCCUCGACAACCUUGGAGAAUCAAGGAUGCUGCACCCAGUGCAGUCUUUCGAAACCUCGACCUCAAAUCAGAUGAGAUCACCCGCUGAAUUUAA